UCAGGAAGCACGUGUUGGCUCUUAGGUCUCUCAGGGAUGAUGUGCCUGGGUUCCGGUCACCGAGCUGUGGGCAGAUGUGUGCCGUCUUGUGCCGGCUGGCCACGGCCCCUCUCAAAGGUGAAGACAAUAAAAUUUAUGACUGGCGCUCUAUCAGACAACAGAGGAGCAUAAAAGCCACAGGAAGAGUGAGAGCCCAUUAGUCUGCAGACAUCUGGAAGGUUCCGGCAUGGGGCUGCUGCCCUGCACUUUCCUCCUGGGGCUGCUACUGCUUCUGGGGCGAGGAACGACCCAGGCCCAUACUUCCCCUGGAGAGAACACAUUGGAAGAGCAGCUGUGGCCAGAGGUAAGGGCUUUGUCUUCAUGGGAGAGGUAGUGACUUCCCUUCUGAAGGGUGAGUCCU
rnacentral:lncRNA from 1 species